UCGAGAAUCUUCCACAAUGGACGAAAGUCUGAUGGAGCGACGCCGCGUGGUUGAUGAAGUCCUCGGGACGUAAAACCUUUAUGAGGGAGGAAGUAAUUGACGUUACCUCAUGAAUAAGGGGCUCCUAACUCUGUGCCAGCAGGAGCGGUAAUACAGAGGCCCCAAGCAUUAUCCGGAAUCACUGGGCGUAAAGGGUGUGUAGGCGGUCGUAUUAGUCUUUCGUGAAAGCUUCUUGGCUUAACCAAGAAAACGCGGGAGAAACGGUACGACUUAGAGGACGCGAGAGGUAUAUGGAACUCAUGGUGUAGGGGUGAAAUCCGUUGAUAUCAUGGGGAACACCAAAAGCGAAGGCAAUAUACUGGCGCGCUCCUGACGCUGAAACACGAAAGCGUGGGAAUCGAACGGGAUUAGAUACCCGUGUAGUC
rnacentral:rRNA from 1 species